ACAACCAUCGUUGUAUCUAACUAUUCAAGGAUUGGGGAGUGUCGUAAUGACGAGAACCAGUCCGAGGUAGGAAUGGCUUCGCGUUAGCGAAGUUUUCUCGAAUCCAGGAGACCAUGAAAGACUGUGUAGUUAGCAAAAUGUAAGUUCGUACCCAGAACCGACACAGGUGCGCUGGCUUAGAAAGCUAAGGUGCUACGGGUAUACCGUAUGGCGAGGGAAUUCGGCAAAUUAGUCCUGUAGCUUAGGUAUAAGGGAUGCCUGCGGUCUUCAUGAGGAAUGGGGAUCGCAGGUUGCAAUGACAAGGGGGUUUCGACUGUUUAAUAAAAACACAGGCGACUGCUAGUCCGAAAGGAUUUGUAUAGUCGCUGAAUCCUGGCCGGUGCCGGUACCUAAAACUUGGGUUCAACCGAGCUAAGGGCCGGUUAACGCCGGGAGUAACUCUGACUCUCUUAAGGUAGCCAAAUGCCUUGUCGGGUAAGUUCCGACGCGCAUGAAUGGAACAACGAGAGCCCCACUGUCCCCGCCUACAACCCGGUGAAGCCACAUAAGGUGGACGAACAGUCCAUCAACUUCCAUCGGGGAGAGAAGACCCCGUGGAGUUUUACUGCAGCUUGUGCUUGUGGUAUAGUAAGAAUUGCACAGGGUAUCUGGGAGCCAUGCUUAACAUUCCCCGGGAUGUUAAGAAGCAACGAUGUAACACCAGACUCUUUUUGCAGUACCACUUAUCCAGUGAAGACCGGAGACACGUGCAGGUGGGCAGUUCGGCUGGGGCGGCACCCCUUUGAAAAGAUAUCAAAGGGGCCCAAAGUUGAGUUCAAACGGGGCAGAAAUCCGUUGAAGAGGGCAAAGCCAAAAACUCGACUGAAUGGAUUUCCAAACGCACGGAAUUCAUAGACGAAAGUCUGGCUUAGCGAUCCUUCGUGUGCCCACUAUUGGGGCCCGGAGGUGACAGAAAAAUUACCCCAGGGAUAACAGGCUCGUCGCGGGCGAGAGCUCCUAUCGACCCCGCGGUUUGGUACCUCGAUGUCGGCUUUUCCUAUCCUGGUCCUGCAGCAGGGGCCAAGGGUGAGGCUGCUCGCCUAUUAAAAGGGAACAUGAGCUGGGUUUAGACCGUCGUGAGACAGGUCGGUCUCUGCCUGAUGGAAGCGCGAAUAACUGAGGGGAAGUUGCUCUCAGUACGAGAGGAACAGAGCAGCGUGGCCACUGGUUUACCGGUUGUCUGAUAAGGCAGGCCGGGCAGCUAAGCCAUUUAGGCUAAGUGCUGAAAGCAUCUAAGCACGAAUCCUAUCCCGAGACAAGUUAUUCUUUCGUAAGAUGAAGGUCGGCAGCAGAAUACUGCGUUGAUAGGAAGGUGGUGUAGAUCACAAGCUUCGGCGAGUGGUGAGCCAGCCUUUACUAAUAGACCAACACAUCGGU
rnacentral:rRNA from 1 species